AAACUUAAAGGAAUUGACGGGGAGCACCACAACGGGUGGAGCUUGCGGUUUAAUUGGAUUCAACGCCGGAAAUCUUACCGGGACCGACAGCAAUAUGAAGGCCAGGCUGAAGACUUUGCCGGAUUAGCUGAGAGGUGGUGCAUGGCCGUCGUCAGUUCGUACUGUGAAGCAUCCUGUUAAGUCAGGCAACGAGCGAGACCCACGCCCACAGUUGCCAGCGUACUCUCUGGAGUGACGGGUACACUGUGGGACCGCCGCUGCUAAAGCGGAGGAAGGAAUGGGCAACGGUAGGUCAGUAUGCCCCGAAUAUCCCGGGCUACACGCGAGCUACAAUGGUUGGUACAAUGGGUAUCUACCCCGAAAGGGGACGGGAAUCUCCUAAAACCAAUCUUAGUUCGGAUUGAGGGCUGCAACUCGCCCUCAUGAAGCUGGAAUCCGUAGUAAUCGCGUUUCAACAGAACGCGGUGAAUACGUCCCUGCUCCUU
rnacentral:rRNA from 1 species